AACCAUGUUACCGGUGUGAUAUGGUUUAGAUGUGUCCCCACCGAAAUCUCAACUUGAAUUGUAUCUCCCAGAAUUCCCACGUAUUGUGGGAGGGAGCCAGAGGGAGGUAAUUAAAUCACUGGCCGGUCCUUCCCCUGCUAUUCUCGCGAUAGUGAAUAAGUCUCAUGAGAUCUGAUGGGUUUAUCAGGGGUUUCCGCUUUCGGUUCUUCCUCAUUUUCUCUUGCUGCCGCAAUGUAAGAAGAGCCAUACGCCUCCCGCCAUGAUUCUGAGACCUCCACAGCGAUGUGGAACUUGCCGAAUAAUAUUUCAUUUUCUGGAUAUACCUCACUUUAUCUACUUGCUACAGAAGGGCAUCCUGCUUACUUUAAAGUUUUGGCAAUUAGGAAUAAAGCUGCUAUAAGCAUCCAGUCCUGCAGGUUGAAAAAUCCAAGAUCAUGGCACUGGCAGGUUUUGUGUCUGCUGAGGGCCUGAUCUUCACUUCCAAGAUGGUGGCUCGAGUGCUGCCUUCUCCAGGAUACAGGAAUACUGUUCCUCACAUGGAAGAAGUGAAAGAUCAAUGAAUCCACUCUUGCAAGCCAAUUUUUGCUCUGUUUGUUUGUUUUUGAGACAAGGUCUCACUCUGUCACCCUAGAGGUUGGAGUGCAGUGGCACAAUCUCUUCUCCCUGCGACCUCCACUUCCCUGCUCAAGUGAUCCUCCCACCUCAGCCUCCCAAAUAACUGGAACUACAAGCGAUGACUACCAAAAAAUGUCUAAUUUGUUUGUUUGUUUGUUUUUGCUAGAGACUGGCUUUUGCUAUGUCAGCCAGGCUGGUCUCGAACUCCCAGGCUCAGCCUAUCCACCUGCCUGGGUCUCCCAAAGAGCUUGGAUUAUAGACAUGACCCACUGCAUCCAGCCACAAGCCCAUUUUAUAAUGGCAUUAUUCCAUUCAUGAGGUCAGAGCCCUUGUGACCUGAACUCUUAUCCUUAGGCCACAAAUUCUAAUGCUGUUGCAUUAGGAAUUAACUUUCUGACACAUGAAUUUUAAGGAAGACAAAAACAUUCAAACUACAGCAGAUUUUAUUCUAUAUGUAAUUGUUCAAGAAAGUGAAUUACUGUACAUGAAUAUAAGGAGUUUUUUCACUAAGAACUCUCAAAAUAGUAAAAACAGAGGAAUAAAAACAGAACAAGGGUAACUGAGACUAAACUAGCAAGACACCUUCAAAGAAGCCACAAUAGUUCAGAGAACUAAAACAUGGAUUCAAGAUUUAUGGAAACUUAAAAAAAAGAGCUUGACAAUUUUAUAAAGACUGAAUAGGAAUAUAAUUAAUCCAAGAAUUUCCUUUAUGGCCUGAAAGGUGACAUAAUAAUAAUACAAACAAACACUUAUGCAGCAUUUAUUAUGAACAGUGCUUUUCAAGAUCAUUUAAUUCUGUCAACAAUUCUGUGUAGCAAAUAAUAUGAUUUUUUUUAUAGAAGAGAAUAGGGGUGACAAGGGAAGCAUGGUGGCUGAUUAUUAACAUUACACUGGAAUCUUCCACAGAGUAAAAUAUUGUGUGUAAACAAGCAAAGAUAUUUGAGUUACAGAUUUAAUUCAAUACUUUAGUGUUGCAUGAUAUCUUAAUGAAGGAAACCCAAAAUUCUGUAAUCAAGAAAGAUAAAUUUUAAUGCUUCAUAGAUAGAUUUAUUAUUCAAAAGAUUAAUACAACAAUAUGUUGGCCAAAUACAGCCCCCAUUGCAAAGUAGUAUUAACAAAUACGUGCAGAAAACUAACACUUUACCCACAUACAUUGAUUUAGAUUUUUUCCAGAAAGUUUAAUUUCAUAUAAAUAUUUUACCACUUUAUAUUAGGUUGCUCCAAAAGUAAUUCUGGUUUUUGCUAAUAGGUAUGAAUUUUCAGUCGAAUAUUUGCAAGGAAUACUAGAUUCUGCAACUAAUGCUUUAUAGGGAAAAUAGUCACUAACAUAGAAGAACAAAAACUCUAUUUUAAAGUUAGCCCAUAUGUCUGACUCUUCAAAAAAAUUUUUACUACUGCACUGACAGGUGAAAUUUCUUUCGUGCUGGGGGGAUGUAGGGGAAAGAAUCACAAAGUUUUUACAGAUUUAUUUCCUUUCCAGAUUCUAUUUGCAAAGCAAGGCUUACAAAAGUUUUUUAAUAUAGAUUUAAGUUUUCCAUGAUAGUGGGAAAGUUUUCAAGAUAGCUCUAUAAACAUAAUCUCCUAAAUCUGAUGAGUCUCUGCUAGACAUGAAAAAAAAUACAUUGUCUUUCACAUCUUUCUGUGCUAAGAAUUUAGGCUGCAAAGAAAAUUUAAAGGCGAAAUUCUUAUGUGAACUUAUUUAUUCUAUAUAAUUAUUAGACUUCAUUUUGUCUAAUCAUUAUUGAUCAUUUAAUAAAAUCAGUUGGGGAUAAAAUAAUUCUCUAUGUCUCAUUGGUUUUCUGUGCUAUUUUACUCUACAUUCAAUAAAAAGAAAAAUAUAUAAAUAACAUUUAUCACAUACUCCAUUAAGUCUAACAUAUGCUAGCAGAGCACACUGCAGUCAAAUUGUGUAUGUCUGUGUAAAAUUGGUGCUGUUCCUUCACUAAAAAACAUCUAGUAAAUGAAACUAUAGUCCAACAAGUAGACUUAUUUUGGCUUUGCAUUGAAAUGAAACAAGCGUACAGAUUCUAAAUUCACAGUCCUUUUUGGCUAAAAAGUCCACACUUUAUAAUUAAUGCAUUAUUUUGGUUUAUGUUGC
rnacentral:lncRNA from 1 species